ACGGAAGGCAGCAGUGGGGAAUAUUGGACAAUGGGCGAAAGCCUGAUCCAGCGACGCCGCGUGAGUGAAGAAGUAUUUCGGUAUGUAAAGCUCUAGCAGCAGGGAAGAUAAUGACGGUACCUGACUAAGAAGCCCCGGCUAACUACGUGCCAGCAGCCGCGGUAAUACGUAGGGGGCAAGCGUUAUCCGGAUUUACUGGGUGUAAAGGGCGUGUAGCCGGGUCGGCAAGUCAGAUGUGAAAUCCAUGGGCUUAACUCAUGAACUGCAUUUGAAACUGUUGAUCUUGAGUAUCGGAGAGGCAAUCGGAAUUCCUUGUGUAGCGGUGAAAUGCGUAGAUAUAAGGAGGAACACCAGUGGCGAAGGCGGAUUGCUGGACGACAACUGACGGUGAGGCGCGAAAGCGUGGGGAGCAAACAGGAUUAGAUACCCUGGUA
rnacentral:rRNA from 1 species